rnacentral:lncRNA from 1 species
AAUUUAUGGAUUUUUCACUAAUGUUUACUAGGAUAGUAUAUAUUUUUUUAAUAAACAUAAAAAAUAAAAAAUUACAAGAACCAGAUAUAAAAAAGAACACUUUCCAUAUACAGGGAUACUUUAUUGUGGCAGUUACAUUACAGACCAUCAUUGUAGAGCAAAUCACAGCCUUUGCUAUUGUAUAUAAAAGGCUAAAAUACUUGGCCAGAUGGUUGAGUUUUAAAGCAUUCACAUAUCACCCUCUAGGACCAGGCUUGAUUCCUGGUAUUACACCUUUUAGUUUUUCAGGAUAGCUCUGAACUCACUAGUAUCUGUGUUACUUUGUUUUAUAUAUCUGUUCUAAGUAUUAU